GUCGGUAGUUGUAAUCGCCACUGCAGCAGAAAGUGCCCCGUCAAUAGAUGAUGUGAGAGAAUUAACUAAUCUUGGAACUGCAUUUAGAAGUGCUUCCUUUUUUAUUCGUUGACCAAUUACACCUGUGGAUUCAAUCAAAACCUCCUCUCGCUUCACUUUAAGCAUCAUAGCUAGGGUGUCAGCACAUUCUAGCACAUCCUGGUAACCCGCAUCACCUGUUGCUGCAUUUGCUUGACCGGCAUUUAUUAAUACUGCACGUGCCACUUUGGAAAUAUCUAAUGCUUUUUUACAAUACAAGACAGGUGCAGCAGCAACCAUGUUUG
rnacentral:misc_RNA from 1 species